rnacentral:rRNA from 1 species
UACUGAGGGUGCAAGCGGUGUGCGGAAUUACUGGGCGUAAAACGCACGUAGGCGGAUUUACAAGUCGGUUGUGAAAGCCCCGGGCUUAACCCGGGAUUAGCGGUCGAAACUGUAAACCUUGAAUGCCAGAGAGGGUGGGGGAAUUCCUGGUGUAGAAGUGAAAUUCGUAGAUAUCAGGAGGAACGCCUGAGGCGAAGGCGCCUGCCUGGCAGUCCAUUGAAGCUGAGGUGCGAUAGCGUGGGGAGCUAACAGG